ACAUACUAAGAACUUUCCAGAGAUGGAUUGGUGCCUUCGGGAACUUAGAUACAGGUGCUGCAUGGCUGUCGUCAGCUCGUGUCGUGAGAGUGUUGGGGUAAGUCCCGCAACGAGCGCAACCCUUUUCCUUAUUUGCCAGCGGGUUAAGCCGGGAACUUUAAGGAUACUGCCAGUGACAAACUGGAGGAAGGCGGGGACGACGUCAAGUCAUCAUGGCCCUUACGGCCAGGGCUACACACGUGCUACAAUGGUCGGUACAAAGGGUUGCUACCUCGCGAGAGGAUGCUAAUCUCAAAAAGCCGAUCGUAGUCCGGAUCGCAGUCUGCAACUCGACUGCGUGAAGUCGGAAUCGCUAGUAAUCGCGGAUCAGAAUGCCGCGGUGAAUACGUUCCCGGGCCUUGUACACACCGCCCGUCACACCAUGGGAGUUUGUUGCACCAGAAGUAGGUAGUCUAACCGCAAGGAGGACGCUUACCACGGUGUGGCCGAUGACUGGGGUGAAGUCGUAACAAGGUAAGCGUAGAUGA
rnacentral:rRNA from 1 species